UACGUAGGCAGCAAGCGUUGUUCGGAGUUACUGGGCGUAAAGGGUGCGUAGGCGGCUUUUUAAGUUUGGUGUGAAAUCUCCCGGCUCAACUGGGAGGGUGCGCCGAAUACUGAGAGGCUAGAGUGUGGGAGAGGAAAGUGGAAUUCCUGGUGUAGCGGUGAAAUGCGCAGAUAUCAGGAAGAACACCCGUGGCGAAGGCGGCUCUCUGGAACGCAACUGACGCUGAGACGCGAAAGCGUGGGGAGCAAACAGG
rnacentral:rRNA from 1 species